rnacentral:rRNA from 1 species
GUAGGUGGCAAGCGUUGUCCGGAAUUAUUGGGCGUAAAGCGCGCGCAGGCGGUUCUUUAAGUCUGAUGUGAAAGCCCACGGCUCAACCGUGGGGGGUCAUUGGAAACUGGAGAACUUGAGUACAGAAGAGGAAAGCGGAAUUCCACGUGUAGCGGUGAAAUGCGUAGAGAUGUGGAGGAACACCAGUGGCGAAGGCGGCUUUCUGGUCUGUAACUGACGCUGAGGCGCGAAAGCGUGGGGAGCAAACAGAUUAGAUACCCUGGUAGUCCACGCCGUAAACGAUGAGUGCUAAGUGUUAGGGGGUUUCCGCCCCCCUUAGUGCUGCAGCUAACGCAUUAAGCACUCCGCCUGGGAGUACGGCCGCAAGGCUG